rnacentral:rRNA from 1 species
UACAGAGGUCCCAAGCGUUGUUCGGAUUCACUGGGCGUAAAGGGUGCGUAGGCGGUCGGGUAAGUCUGAUGUGAAAUCUCACAGCUUAACUGUGAAACUGCAUUGGAUACUAUCUGGCUGGAGGGUCGGAGGGGAGACUGGAAUUCUCGGUGUAGCAGUGAAAUGCGUAGAUAUCGAGAGGAACACCAGUGGCGAAGGCGAGUCUCUGGACGACUCCUGACACUGAGGCACGAAAGCUAGGGGAGCAAACAGG